GACGAACGCUGGCGGCGUGCUUAACACAUGCAAGUCGAACGGAAAGGCCCCUUUGGGGGUACUCGAGUGGCGAACGGGUGAGUAACACGUGAGUAACCUGCCCUUUACUUCGGGAUAACUUCAGGAAACUGGGGCUAAUACCGGAUAGGAAUCCUUGCUGCAUGGUGGGGGUUGGAAAGCUUCGGCGGUUUUGGAUGGACUCGCGGCUUAUCAGCUUGUUGGUGGGGUAGUGGCUUACCAAGGCUUUGACCGGUAGCCGGCCUGAGAGGGCGACCGGCCACAUUGGGACUGAGAUACGGCCCAGAAUCCUACGGGAGGCCGCCGUGGGGAAUAUUGCACAAAGGGCGGAGGCCAGAUGCAGCAACGCCGCGUGCUGGAUGACGGCCUUCGGGUUGUAAACCGCUUUCAGCAGGGGCGAAGCUUGUGGUGACGGUACCUGCAGAAGAAGCACCGGCUAACUACGUG
rnacentral:rRNA from 1 species